GCUGUUCGAAUCUUAACGGUCGCCCGGAGCUCCGCGCGAUUAAAACACAAAUAAAAUAAAAAUCAAAUCAAAUCCAAGCCGUGAAUCUGGACCAUCUUCAUCUUCCAGCUCCUCCGGACCCGGAGCGCCUCCUCUCCUGAGGGAAAAAAGGGCCCUGCUGUCGACAGGAGUGUGGACACAGACGGGUCCGCUCCCGGAGAGACUCGGUGUGAAAGACAGUUUCUCAGAUAAACUCUAACUCCCCCGGACCAGAGGACACUGGUGAGAGAGACGGCUAGCAUCAUCAUUAUUAUCAUAAUUAUUAUUCUUAUUAGACCAGCAGGGGAGGGCAAUCACAGGAGGUUCGGUCGGUCCGGUUUCCAUGACGACGGGCCCGCUGACAGUCCGGCGGCUCCGAUCCGGAUUCAUUCCGCUUCAGUAAAAACUCGCUGCAGCCCGACAGCAGGUUCGACAGGUCCAGUUCGUGUGUAACUGCAGUUCGAGCUGAGGACAGGAGACAGCUGUCGGUGCAGAAGCACACGAGUGGACAAGAGCUGACAUUGAAGCGCCGGGUCGUGUUUGUCUCCUCUAUCUCCCUCCUGCAGCUCCUGUGCUCCUGUCCUGCUGGAGUGAACUGUGUUGUCGACACUGACUUGCUGGAGAGUCUCUGUAACGAUCAGUUCUUUCCGGGCCCAAUGCGGACGACACGAUCCGGAAUUAGGAACCAUUACCUCAGGCUGGAUUAUCUCAGUCUCCUUGCUGCUGCUGGACACUCUGUACGUCGCCUGCGGUUUCAGCUUACAGCUCG